rnacentral:lncRNA from 1 species
ACUCAGUUUUUAUUUACCAAACAGUGAAUUGCUAAGAACAAACGAAAUAAGAUAAAACAAUUUACUACCAUUGUAAUUUUAAACUUUGUUUGAAAAAUUAUUUGAAAUUUUGAAAUUCUUUAGAGUUCUUCGUACGAUUUUGAUCCACAACAAAUCAACAUGUCUGUCUCCUCAGAAGACCAUCCAGCCGAGAACUUAGAAUUCCUCCUCACAGAAAUUUUAGGGGACGGAAAAUCCACAAUUGAUGCCAAAAUCCGAGAAUCUCCCCCUCAAGAAUUAGGAGACCUUGUGGCCGAUUGCGUCACUGCAGCCGUUUCAAAAAAGCUGAAAGAUAAGGAGCUGGUUAAACAGCUUGGCUGUGUAAUAUCAGCAUUCUCCGCCCAGUUAAAAUACGAACAGGAUCGGGUUAAAACCCUCGAGCGCGAACGAGACGCUCAACUCGAAGCCAUCGAGGAACGCGAAGCCCGCUGCGCGAACCUCACGGUCCAGUAUGACGAAACACGUGAAGAAAAUGGACUGCUCCAAAUGCGUGUGACUUACCUAGAAGAAGCGGAAGAUCAGGUUAAUCAAUUAAUCACUGAGAAUAAAGAAUUAGAAAAAUCCAAAGUGCUACUCGGUGAUAAAAUACGCGUUCUCGAACAUGAUUUCGACACCACCACCCGGGAAUUAGACGCACAACUACACGAGUCAAAUGAUGGGAAGAAACUCCUCCUUGAGGCAGAAGGGGCGAUCAAAGCCUCAAAAGCCAAAACUAAACUGCUCUCUAGAGAAUUAGACGCAGAACGAGAGAGGGUUAAUGACUUAUUACAACAAGUAGCUGACGGUAAAGUAGCUACUGCUAAGGUUCAACGACAAUUGAACCUCACCAGGAGAGAGCUCCUAGACGCAAGACGUGAGCUCGGGCACGCUCUCUCAUCAUUGUCAAUGUCGGAGGCCGAUGGCGAUCCUGACUCCGACGGUGAAGACGCAACUCGACAAGUCCUGCGCACAACCGACCCACCGGUACGCACGCAGCGCCAAAGGAGACCCAGGGAUGCCUCCGCGGACCCUCCUAUUGACGGCGGACCGACGCCCGCCAGGCCCCC